rnacentral:rRNA from 1 species
AGGGUUCGAUUCUGGCUCAGGAUGAACGCUAGCUACAGGCUUAACACAUGCAAGUCGAGGGGCAGCAUAACGAAAGCUUGCUUUGUUGAUGGCGACCGGCGCACGGGUGAGUAACGCGUAUCCAACCUUCCCCUUAGUAGGGCAUAGCCCGUAGAAAUGCGGAUUAAUACCCUAUGUUCUUCGAAGCGGUCAUCCAAUUUGAAGCAAAGAUUCAUCGCUAAGGGAUGGGGAUGCGUCCGAUUAGGUUGUUGGCGGGGUAACGGCCCACCAAGCCAUCGAUCGGUAGGGGUUCUGAGAGGAAGGUCCCCCACAUUGGAACUGAGACACGGUCCAAACUCCUACGGGAGGCAGCAGUGAGGAAUAUUGGUCAAUGGACGAGAGUCUGAACCAGCCAAAGUAGCGUGCAGGACGACGGCCCUAUGGGUUGUAAACUGCUUUUAUACAGGGAUAAAGUCGGGGACGUGUCCCCGUUUGUAGGUACUGUAUGAAUAAGGACCGGCUAAUUCCGUGCCAGCCGCAGC